UGAGGAAUAUUGGUCAAUGGGCGCGAGCCUGAACCAGCCAAGUAGCGUGAAGGAUGAAGGUCCUACGGAUUGUAAACUUCUUUUAUAAGGGAAUAAAGUCACCCACGUGUGGGUGUUUGUAUGUACCUUAUGAAUAAGCAUCGGCUAACUCCGUGCCAGCAGCCGCGGUAAUACGGAGGAUGCGAGCGUUAUCCGGAUUUAUUGGGUUUAAAGGGAGCGUAGAUGGAUGUUUAAGUCAGUUGUGAAAGUUUGCGGCUCAACCGUAAAAUUGCAGUUGAUACUGGAUAUCUUGAGUGCAGUUGAGGCAGGCGGAAUUCGUGGUGUAGCGGUGAAAUGCUUAGAUAUCACGAAGAACUCCGAUUGCGAAGGCAGCCUGCUAAGCUGCAACUGACAUUGAGGCUCGAAAGUGUGGGUAUCAAACAGGAUUAGAUACCCUGGUAGUCCACACGGUAAACGAUGAAUACUCGCUGUUUGCGAUAUACUGCAAGCGGCCAAGCGAAAGCGUUAAGUAUUCCACCUGGGGAGUACGCCGGCAACGGUGAAACUCAAAGGAAUUGACGGGGGCCCGCACAAGCGGAGGAACAUGUGGUUUAAUUCGAUGAUACGCGAGGAACCUUACCCGGGCUUAAAUUGCAGAUGAAUUACGGUGAAAGCCGUAAGCCGCAAGGCAUCUGUGAAGGUGCUGCAUGGUUGUCGUCAGCUCGUGCCGUGAGGUGUCGGCUUAAGUGCCAUAACGAGCGCAACCCUUGUUGUCAGUUACUAACAGGUUUUGCUGAGGACUCUGACAAGACUGCCAUCGUAAGAUGUGAGGAAGGUGGGGAUGACGUCAAAUCAGCACGGCCCUUACGUCCGGGGCUACACACGUGUUACAAUGGGGGGUACAGAGGGCCGCUACCACGCGAGUGGAUGCCAAUCCCCAAAACCUCUCUCAGUUCGGACUGGAGUCUGCAACCCGACUCCACGAAGCUGGAUUCGCUAGCAAUCGCGCAUCAGCCACGGCGCGGUGAAUACGUUCCC
rnacentral:rRNA from 1 species